CCUACGGGAGGCAGCAGUGAGGAAUUUUGCGCAAUGGGCGAAAGCUUGACGCAGCGACGCCGCGUGGGGGAAGAAGGCCUUCGGGUUGUAAACCCCUUUCGCGAGGGAAAAAGCCCUGAGUUUAUCGAAGGGUGAUGGUACCUCAGGAAGAAGUCACGGCUAACUCUGUGCCAGCAGCCGCGGUAAGACAGAGGUGGCAAGCGUUGUUCGGAAUUACUGGGCUUAAAGGGCGUGUAGGCGUCCCAACAAGUCAGAGGUGAAAGCCUUAGGCUUAACCUAAGAAUUGCAUUUGAAACUAUUGGGAUUGAGUUGGACAGGGGAGGGCGAAAUUCCUGGUGUAGCGGUAAAAUGCGUAGAUAUCAGGAGGAAGGCCGGUGGCGAAGGCGGCCCUCUAUGUCUUAACUGACGCUGAGGCGCGAAAGCGUGGGGAGCAAACAGGAUUAGAUCCCCGGGUAGU
rnacentral:rRNA from 1 species